UACGAAGGGGGCUAGCGUUGCUCGGAAUCACUGGGCGUAAAGGGUGCGUAGGCGGGUUCUUAAGUCAGAGGUGAAAUCCUGGAGCUCAACUCCAGAACUGCCUUUGAUACUGAGAGUCUUGAGUUCGGGAGAGGUGAGUGGAACUGCGAGUGUAGAGGUGAAAUUCGUAGAUAUUCGCAAGAACACCAGUGGCGAAGGCGGCUCACUGGCCCGAUACUGACGCUGAUGCACGAAAGCGUGGGGAGC
rnacentral:rRNA from 1 species